rnacentral:rRNA from 1 species
AUAUUGGGGAGAGACCGAUAGCGAACAAGUACCGUGAGGGAAAGAUGAAAAGCACUUUGGAAAGAGAGUUAAACAGUACGUGAAAUUGUUGAAAGGGAAGCGCUUGAAGUUAGUCAUGCUUGCCUGGAUUCAGCCUUGCUUUUGCUUGGUGCAUUUCCAGGUUUGCAGGUCAGCAUCGGUUUUGACUGCUGGAUAAGGGUGAGAGGAAUGUGGCACCCUCGGGUGUGUUAUAGCCUUUCACUGGAUGCAGCAGUUGGGACCGAGGAGCGCAGCGCGCCUUUAUGGCGGACCUUCGGGUACCUUCGCGCUUAGGAUGCUGGCAUAAUAGCCUCAAGUGACCCGUCUUGAAACAC